rnacentral:rRNA from 2 species
UACGUAUGGUGCAAGCGUUAUCCGGAUUUACUGGGUGUAAAGGGAGCGUAGACGGAUAGGCAAGUCUGGAGUGAAAACCCAGGGCUCAACCUUGGGACUGCUUUGGAAACUGCAGAUCUGGAGUGCCGGAGAGGUAAGCGGAAUUCCUAGUGUAGCGGUGAAAUGCGUAGAUAUUAGGAGGAACACCAGUGGCGAAGGCGGCUUACUGGACGGUGACUGACGUUGAGGCUCGAAAGCGUGGGGAGCAAACAGG